rnacentral:misc_RNA from 1 species
CGCACCUUGCGCUCCCUGGUAUUCCGGGGAGCAUGCCUGUUUGAGUGUCGUGAAGUUAAUCAUGGUCAUGGUCUUUAAUUAAUCAUGGCUUGGAUUUGGAGGUAUUGUUGGCCUUUUUAGUCAACUCCUCUUAAAUACAUUAGCUCGGUGUUAAUACUUGGAGCAGUUCACAGUGUGAUAAUUAUCUACACUUCAACUAAUCCAAGUUAACUGGCUUCUAGUGAUCACUUUGUGUAUUUGACCUCAAAUCAGGUAGGACUACCCGCUGAACUUAA